rnacentral:rRNA from 10 species
AAAUUGAAGAGUUUGAUCAUGGCUCAGAUUGAACGCUGGCGGCAGGCCUAACACAUGCAAGUCGAACGGUAACAGGAAGCAGCUUGCUGCUUCGCUGACGAGUGGCGGACGGGUGAGUAAUGUCUGGGAAACUGCCUGAUGGAGGGGGAUAACUACUGGAAACG